UACAAAUCGAAGCUCGGCUCCUCAAGGGUGGUCGCGGCUCAUCCCCGUACGGAAGGGGGGUGAUCGCUAUGGUAACGCACGAGACGCUUGGACUGCUUUUCCAGUUUGGGCUGUUUCUGGUCGCUUUGAUCGGGCCUGGUAGUUACCUUGACCAAAAAAAAUAGACCGCCCUUGAGUUGACUGCUCCUCCGCGGUCUAUUCUUCACCAAAUUUUGAGCCGUCCCCUUUGAGGGAAGCCUCGUUUGUACAGACCAGACCGUUCCGGUAGCCGCCGGACGG
rnacentral:sRNA from 1 species